GCGUACCUUUUGUAUAAUGGGUCAGCGACUUAUAUUCUGUAGCAAGGUUAACCGAAUAGGGGAGCCGGAGGGAAACCGAGUCUUAACCGGGCGUUAAGUUGCAGGGUAUAGACCCGAAACCCGGUGAUCUAGCCAUGGGCAGGUUGAAGGUUGGGUAACACUAACUGGAGGACCGAACCGACUAAUGUUGAAAAAUUAGCGGAUGACCUGUGGCUGGGGGUGAAAGGCCAAUCAAACCGGGAGAUAGCUGGUUCUCCCCGAAAGCUAUUUAGGUAGCGCCUCGUGAAUUCAUCUCCGGGGGUAGAGCACUGUUUCGGCUAGGGGGCCAUCCCGGCUUACCAACCCGAUGCAAACUGCGAAUACCGGAGAAUGUUAUCACGGGAGACACACGGCGGGUGCUAACGUCCGUCGUGAAGAGGGAAACAACCCAGACCGCCAGCUAAGGUCCCAAAGUCAUGGUUAAGUGGGAAACGAUGUGGGAAGGCCCAGACAGCCAGGAUGUUGGCUUAGAAGCAGCCAUCAUUUAAAGAAAGCGUAAUAGCUCACUGGUCGAGUCGGCCUGCGCGGAAGAUGUAACGGGGCUAAACCAUGCACCGAAGCUGCGGCAGCGACGCUUAUGCGU
rnacentral:rRNA from 1 species